GUAAGAGUUUCAUUUGAAAACAAGUUAGAAUCACCUGCCAGAAGAGUGAUAAAGGCUGCUAUCUAACUCUAGAGGGUUAUGGAGCCUUUAUAACAAGCAGUAAAUAAAUAACAUCAGUGGUUUAAUGAUGCACCUACCUAAGGGAGGAGAUCUCAUGUGCUCUUUCAUUCUUUAGAGCUCUCUGGUCAUUGCUGCUUUCCCAUCUUCACUUCGUUGUAUAAUUCUUUUGCAGAUAAAAUGCAAUGCCAGUGGGCCCGCCCAUCUCUGCUCUCUCAUUGAAAGGUAGAAUCUCUUCAGAAAACUGCUUUGUCAAGACCAAUAUGCCACAAAAACUAAAGACCGCAAGAAGACAUACGAAAGGACUAAAUCUGCCAAGGGAGGAUUUGGGAAAUGUGCUCAGAGAAAGCAAAGAUUGGAAUCUACCCUGUUAUCUUGCAGAAGAGAAAACUUAGACCAAUGCAGCAGCCCAACUAAAUCUCAGUCUGCUGUUCCCAUGAUCCUGGAGUCUUUACCUGCACCUUUGAUGCUGCUAUUCAUUUCCAUGCUUUUGUUAUGCUGUUAUUCCAGCAAGACUCAACUCAGGUGUGGGAUAAGUUCAGAUCCCUCUUCUCUGUGCCCAGCUGCAUUUGUUCUCUUUCUCACUAAAUUAGACAGUGAACUGCUAGAGUGUAAGAACUGUCUUUAAAUCCUCAGUACAUAACCCGGCACACAGUAGGUGGUCCUGAAAUAUUCGUCAAACUCAACUUUACAUGCUAUGAAUCCCUUAAACAUAUCUCCUUCCCCAGUUUCCACAAAGACACCAGAAUAUCCAAGUUUAGAAUAUGACCUGUCCUAUGCAAAGAUAACUAAAAUCCCUGUGCAAAGAGAUCACAAAGUAUGUAGAUGAGAGAACAGAGGCCAGGAACAGAACCAAACACCCAAACCCUAAAUACAACUCUUUAAACCCCAAGAGAGUUUCACAGAAUGAUAAUCUUCCCCUACAGCACCAAAUUAACUUGGCUGUUUCAUUCACUCCUACAUCCACCUGAUGUCACUCUCACUGCCCAGUAGAACAAUGUGUCAAAGGCCUUUGGUCACAGAGCUCCUCCAUUAAGAGCAUUUGGAAAAGCAUAGCUAUACCUGGCUUAGGAGGAAUUGAAGCUUCCCUGAAGGCAAAGAACAAUCUACGAUGCAUCAUCCUUCUUGGGUUCUCUCUUCCUUACUCUAAGAACAAGAUACCCUCACCCUGUUUCAUUUCCAAGUUCUUUGUCCUGAAAACACUCAGAGAGAAAUCUAGUACUUGUAGUGCUUGAUACUGAGUCAGGCAGAGUGAUUGUUACUGUCUGUCUGGGAAUAUGGACUUAAGAUUAAAUUCAGGAGCUUUCCUUCUUGUUCUCAUUCCAAAGAAACUUCUUGUUUUUCUGCUGUGAAUUCUCCAUUUUAUGAAUUGACCAAUUACAUUUUCCCCCAAGAUAGAAUUUUGCUAUAUGCUAAUUUGUAGGUCAUGAAAGUACAAAAAUAAAGCAAGAAAUGAAGUCUUGCCCAUUAUAACAGUUAAGGAUUGGAAUAUCUGGGUUCUAUUCCUGGCUCUGGUACUCACUUGCUAGGUGACCCUAAAUGGAUCAUAUAAACAGGCUGUGUCUUUUAAAUGUGAAUUUUUAAUCAAAGCACAUAUGUGGAUAGUUUUAGGGUCAUGAUGAAAGGAAUUUGACAAGCUUUCUAGAGAACUUUUAAGGAAAAUGCACAGCAUAAAGCCUGGCUGGCAUGAUUCUCUUUUCCAAACCCAAUCAGUGACAAAACUUUGGGAAUUCUCAGACAUAAAUAUAUAGGAACUGAACUCUCAAAUGCACUUUCCUCUCUUCCCUCUUUCACCCAGUAGUAGUCUCACCAAAAUGCCACAAGACAGAGGACAAAAUAUUUUGCUUCUUUAAGGCUGGAUUUAAGCAAUUGUUCACAGUGAAACCCAGCUCUCCCUGUGAGCUCUUCAUUGCCAAAGUCCAUUGGCCAGGAUGAAAUACUUUGAGGACGGUCAUCUGCUGCUCUGUGGAGCCCUGAUCCUCUCACUGCUGUCUGCUUGCAGCCUGAGUAGCAAACACUUUGUGUCAGUUCACAGACAUCUCUUGGUGCCCCGGUCCAGAUCAGAUCUGAUGCUGCUGCAGAAUUGUGCUUCUUUUUCCUCACCAGCCUGGCCAUGAGUUCUCUCUUUUUCUCUGUGGCUUCUUCAUAAUCAGCCAGUUGUCUUUAGCUCUCAGACAGUGUCAGAGAGUCCAAGGAGCUGUUUGACAGUGUUCAUUGACUCAGCAACACCUCCCAUUCUUCCAUUCUCCCAGGUGCCUGUGCCUGUGUGUGGCCCUUGCUGGUACUCAGACAAAUGUUAUUCAGAAUGUGAUUAAUUGAUUGAAAGAGCACAGUUUUGUUACCCAAAUACAUAAAACCACCGACAAGUUCAAACUACUUAAGAAAACUAAGUGAUUUUCAGAAGUUUUUACUUCAAAUAAAUUACCAUUAGUGAUAUGGUUUGGAUUUGUGUCCCCCUCCAAAUCUCUUGUCAAGUUGUAAUCUCCAAUGUUGGAGGAGGGGCCUAGGGGGCAUGGUUGAAUCAUGGGGGUAGACUUACCCCUUGCUGUUCUCAUGCAGUGAGUGAGUUCUCACAAGAUCUGGUUGUUUAAAAGUAUGUGUCACCUCCCUCCUCUCUCUAUUCCUCCUUCUCCGGCCAUGUAAGACAUGCCUGCUUCUCCUUCAAUUUCCACCAUGAUUAUAAGUUUCCUGAGCCCACUGCCCUCAGUCAUGUUCCCUGUACAACCUGCAGAACUGUGAGUCAAUUAAAGCUCUUUUCUUAAUAAGUUAUCCAGUCUCAGGUAGUUCUUUAUAGCAAUGCGACAAUGGACUAAUACAGAAAAUUGGUAUCAGGAGUAGAGUAUUGCUAUAAAGAUACCUGAAAGUGUGGAGGCAACUUUGGAACUUGGUAGUGGGCAGAGUUUGGAAGAGUGGAAAGGGCUCGGAAGAAGACAGGAGGAUGAGGGAAAGUUGGAACUUCCUAGGGACUUGUUGAAUGGCUUUGACCAAAAUGCUGACAGUGAUAUGGACAGUGAAGUCCAGGCUGAGGUGGUCUCGGAUGGAGAUGAAGAACUUAUUGGGAACUGAAGUAAAAGUCACUCUUGCUAUGCUUUAGCAAAGAGACUGGUGGCAUUUUGCAACUGCCCUAGAGAUCUGUGGAACUCUGAACUUGAGAGAGAUGGUUUAGGGUACCUGGCAAAAUAAAUUUCUAAGCAGCAAAGUGUUCAGGCUGUAGCCUUGCUACUUCUAACACAGUAUGCUUAUACGCAUGAGCAAAGAGAUGA
ensembl:lncRNA